UCAGUGUAUAUUAAUUAUUUAUUUUCAUUUUACUUAAAAUAUAUGUUUUUGUUAAGUUAACAUAUGUUUUUCUAAUCAAGUCUACGUAAUUGUGUCUAUUAUUCACUGUACAUAAUACUAAUGUGUUACUUAAUGGCAUAACAUUUAAGUUAAGUCAAUUAGGAUCGGUAUACUUUGUAUAUCCACAAGGUGGCAGUAAUGCAAAAACAGUUGUAAUGAAACCGCGAAAAACAAGAAGGUUUCACGGCUUGGGCCUGCUCAUGCGCAAGACUUCAAAUCUAACUCAAAAACGUUGUUUUGGCGCCAAGCUGCUGUUUCUUUGAGAGAUCCUGGCCUUUACCUGCUCCCUCCUAUACUGAUGUGGUGUAUGUGGUACUGCUGAGCUUGUAUGUGAUCUGAACCAUUGUAAAGGUUGCAGUUCAAGGGCCUGAGGUGGAAGCAGAAUUUGUGAGGAUUACUACUGCUCCACUUGUUCCAAGGCUUUUUGCACAACUUGACCAAUACACUGACCAGCUCAUAAAAGUCUUCAAGAAAAAAGGAGGCGCUGCAGUGAAGAAAAUUAGACAAAUUUUGGUCCCAGCCACAAAGGUGCAUUAUUCAGUUGGUAGCAAAAUAUUAUGGCUAACAAGAUCACUUUCAAAUUUAAACAGCUAGUGUAUGGUAGCUGCACAGUGUACUUACAUUUAUAUUAAGCAAGACAAAGUUUGGUACUCAAAACUUUGGAAAAUUAAAAUUACCUAAACAUAAGUAAAAUCUGAUCCCUCAAUUUUGGGUUAAACCAUAAGUGAAUGUUUUUAUGUUAAAGAUCAGUUUUUGAAUGCAAAAAAGAUGAUGUAUUAGUUUGUCUUUACCUCUAUUAUGGACAUAUAUAAUGUGGUGGAAACCCUACCCAACAGGUUAACUAUUCAUGUCCAUGUGAUGAUUAGUUGGUCUUGUGUACAUGUCUAUCUGUGCAGUGGAUAUGUCAUUCAUUUUGCGUAUAAUGUGAGUUUGUGUCAUCCUAAAGUAUUUCUGUUUUCUCUUCCUGUAUCUCUGCCACUCUCUACAGAAGCAAACUAUUGAAAAGGCGAGGGAGUGUGUCCUCAGGGCACUACCUUUUUACCUGAAUGAAGACCCAAGCAUCCUCUUCAAAGAAUAAUUGCUACAGCUGUUCAGAGGGAGCUGGAACAAAUUACCCUUGCUAUCUUUACCAUCGAAAGAGCUGAUGCCAGCACUCCUCCAGCCAAUGUGGAUAUAACCAUUUAGGGUGUUCUGCAUGACCUGGAAGACAUGGACUCUGCAUGUGCACUCUUAAUGGGUGGGAUAUAUGCACUGAAUCUCAGUUAACCUUGAGACUGAAAGCUUUCUUUGAAGUACUUCAGAAGCUCUUCCUUCAUCUGUAUGUCAGCAGACUCUUGACCAAGGUACAGAUACUCAAGAAUAAACUGAAUGAAUAAGCCAACCCUUAAUUUGGAUGAUUAAUGUUCUGUCAGAUGGACAGAAGUUUUUCGGAGGCUAAAUGGGAAUAAAACGGUAAUUUGUUGAAAAUGACAGA